CUGACGCUGAGGCUNGAAAGCGUUGGUAGCGAACAGGAUUAGAUACCCUGGUAGUCCACGCCGUAAACGAUGAGUGCUAGGUGUUAGGCCCUUUCCGGGGCUUAGUGCCGGAGCUAACGCAAUAAGCACUCCGCCUGGGGAGUACGACCGCAAGGUUGAAACUCAAAGGAAUUGACGGGGGCCCGCACAAGCGGUGGAGCAUGUGGUUUAAUUCGAAGCAACGCGAAGAACCUUACCAGGUCUUGACAUCCCGAUGCUAUUCUUAGAGAUAGGAAGUUACUUCGGUACAUCGGAGACAGGUGGUGCAUGGUUGUCGUCAGCUCGUGUCGUGAGAUGUUGGGUUAAGUCCCGCAACGAGCGCAACCCUUAUUGUUAGUUGCCAUCAUUAAGUUGGGCACUCUAGCGAGACUGCCGGUAAUAAACCGGAGGAAGGUGGGGAUGACGUCAAAUCAUCAUGCCCCUUAUGACCUGGGCUACACACGUGCUACAAUGGUCGGUACAACGAGUUGCGAGCCGGUGACGGCAAGCUAAUCUCUGAAAGCCGAUCUCAGUUCGGAUUGGAGGCUGCAACUCGCCUCCAUGAAGUCGGAAUCGCUAGUAAUCGCGGAUCUGCACGCCGCGGUGAAUACGUUCCCGGGCCUUGUACACACCGCCCGUCACACCACGAGAGUUUGUAACACCCGAA
rnacentral:rRNA from 1 species